ACGGAAGGCAGCAGUCGGGAAUAUUGCGCAAUGGAGGAAACUCUGACGCAGUGACGCCGCGUAUAGGAAGAAGGUUUUCGGAUUGUAAACUAUUGUCGUUAGGGAAGAUACAAGACAGUACCUAAGGAGGAAGCACCGGCUAACUAUGUGCCAGCAGCCGCGGUAAUACAUAGGGUGCAAGCGUUAUCCGGAAUUAUUGGGUGUAAAGGGUGCGUAGACGGGAUGACAAGUUGGUUGUGAAAUCCCUCAGCUCAACUGAGGAACUGCAACCAAAACUAUCAUUCUUGAGUGUCGGAGAGGAAAGUGGAAUUCCUAGUGUAGCGGUGAAAUGCGUAGAUAUUAGGAGGAACACCAGUGGCGAAGGCGACUUUCUGGACGAUAACUGACGUUGAGGCACGAAAGUGUGGGGAGCAAACAGGAUUAGAUACCCUGGUA
rnacentral:rRNA from 1 species